UGGGCAUAAAAUGGCAGACCUUAGCAUAUAGGUUAGCGGAACAUAAACUCACCAGUGCAGUGGAAUGGCACGUUAGCUUGAGCAUGCCCUCCAAAUUAGACUCUUGUGGUAUUCCACACUGUUAGUAGUUUCCUUGCUGAAAAACCAGCUAAAACUAGCCUAAGCUGGUUGGCUGGUCUUAGCUGGUCUCCCAGCCUGGUCAUAGCUGGUAAAGCAGGCUGGUUUUAGAGGGGUUUUGGCCACUUUUUUUUUUAGCUGGUCAGGCUGGUCUUAGUUGGUCAGUGUUGGUCAGGCUGGUCUUAGAUGGUCAGUGUUGGUCAGGCUGGGCUUAGAUGGUCAGUGUUGGUCAGGCUGGGCUUAGAUGGUCAGGCUGCUCUUAGAUGGUCAGUGUUGUUCAGGCUGGUCUUAGAUGGUCAGUGUUGGUCAGGCUGGGCUUAGAUGGUCAGGCUGGUGUUAGAUGUUCAGUGUUGGUCAGACUGGGCUUAGAUGGUCAAUGUUGGUCAGGCUGGGCUUAGAUGGUCAGUGUUGACCAGGCUGGGCUUAGAUGGUCAGGCUGGUCUUAGAUGGUCAGUGUUGGUCAGGCUGGUCUUAGAUCGUCAGAGUUGGUCAGGCUGGGCUUAGAUGGUCAGGCUCGUCUUAGAUGGUCAGUGUUGUUCAGGCUGGUCUUAGAUCGUCAGAGUUGGUCAGGCUGGUCUUAGAUGGUCAGUGUUGUUCAGGCUGGUCUUAGAUGGUCAGUGUUGUUCAGGCUGGGCUUAGAUGGUCAGGCUGGUCUUAGAUGGUCAGAGUUGGUCAGGCUGGUCUUAGAUGGUCAGUGUUGUUCAGGCUGGGCUUAGAUGGUCAGGCUGUUUUUAGAUGGUCAGUGUUGGUCAGGCUGGUCUUAGCUGGUCAUAGCUAACCAGACUUAACUGCUGAUGUUGGCUGGGUAACAUAUAGACCAGUUCAUUGUAUUUUAAAAAAAAUGCUAAAGAAUCACUGAUUGAUCUGAUUGACAGUCUGUUUGAUUAACUGAUCACAUGAUGUCUUUUAUUUUUCCUGUCACUUGGUGUUGCGAAGUAUACUUUAAAUAAUGUUCAGGAGCACAAGCAACCUUUCAAACAAUAUGUUCUUUAUUUGUUCUUGCGGCCUCUUCAAAAAGAACAAAAAACAUGCAACCCUGAUGUUUGCUCUAAAAACUAUGUACAAAAUAAUUAACUGGCAUAAUUAAAACUAUUUCAACAAUUGUAAUUGUAUUUAAAUUGUAACGAUGAACAAUGACAAUAAACAGACUUACAGAC
ensembl:lncRNA